rnacentral:rRNA from 1 species
GAUGAACGCUGGCGGCGUGCCUAAUACAUGCAAGUCGAGCGGGAGAAUCAUCCUCCGGGAUGAGGAUCCAGCGGCGAACGGGUGAGUAACACGUGGGCAACCUGCCCGCAAGACCGGGAUAACUCCGGGAAACCGGGGCUAAUACCGGAUAGGCCUUUUCCCUGCAUGGGGAAAAGGGGAAAGGCGGCUUCGGCUGUCACUUGCGGAUGGGCCCGCGGCGCAUUAGCUGGUUGGUGAGGUAACGGCUCACCAAGGCGACGAUGCGUAGCCGACCUGAGAGGGUGAUCGGCCACACUGGGACUGAGACACGGCCCAGACUCCUACGGGAGGCAGCAGUAGGGAAUUUUCCGCAAUGGGCGAAAGCCUGACGGAGCAACGCCGCGUGAGUGAGGACGGCCUUCGGGUUGUAAAACUCUGUUCUUGAGGAAGAAUUCCUUCCAGGCGAACAGCCUGGAAGGUUGACGGUACUCAAGGAGAAAGCCCCGGCUAACUAC